UAUGGAGGGGGCUAGCGUUGUUCGGAAUUACUGGGCGUAAAGCGCACGUAGGCGGCUUUGUAAGUUAGAGGUGAAAGCCCGGGGCUCAACUCCAGAAUUGCCUUUAAGACUGCAUCGCUUGAAUCCAGGAGAGGUGAGUGGAAUUCCGAGUGUAGAGGUGAAAUUCGUAGAUAUUCGGAAGAACACCAGUGGCGAAGGCGGCUCACUGGACUGGUAUUGACGCUGAGG
rnacentral:rRNA from 1 species